rnacentral:rRNA from 1 species
UACAGAGACUGCAAGCGUUAUUCGGAUUCACUGGGCGUAAAGGGUGCGCAGGCGGCCAAGUGUGUCAGAUGUGAAAUCCCCGAGGCUCAACCUCGGAACUGCGUCUGAAACUACUUGGCUAGAGUAUUGGAGAGGGUAACGGAAUUCACGGUGUAGCAGUGAAAUGCGUAGAUAUCGUGAGGAACACCAGAGGCGAAGGCGGUUACCUGGACAAUUACUGACGCUCAGGCACGAAAGCAUGGGGAGCAAAAGGG